UAACAGCACCUGCGCCCCGGGGAGA
rnacentral:miRNA from 1 species